CAGUAGCCACGGGAAUACGGAGGGUGCAAGCGUUAUCCGGAUUUAUUGGGUUUAAAGGGUCCGUAUGCGGAUCUGUAAGUCAGUGGUGAAAUCUCACAGCUUAACUGUGAAACUGCCAUUGAUACUGCAGGUCUUGAGUAAAUUUGAAGUGGCUGGAAUAAGUAGUGUAGCGGUGAAAUGCAUAAAUAUUACUUAGAACACCAAUUGCGAAGGCAGGUCACUAAGAUUUAACUGACGCUGAUGGACGAAAGCGUGGGGAGCGAACAGGAUUAGAUACCCCAGUAGUCCCUGUCUCUUAUAC
rnacentral:rRNA from 1 species